rnacentral:lncRNA from 1 species
UGCUCCAAAACCACUACUCUACGCUUGCUGCUCAGGCCAUGCCACAGCUGUAUGAAACUCAUCCAUGGUCCACCUGUGUGCUGGUGGAUGGUCAUAUAAUCCAAUAAUCAUUUCAACUGUCGUCACCUGCCCUCUGUGAAGCGCCUCCAUCCGAGCCUCCAUCAUGGACAUAUACAUGUCCCUCAUCUGGAAGGGCUCCGCGUGCUGACCUGGUUCCUCAUCGGGCACCUGCUCCUGCUGAGCAGCGACUCUCCUAUGCCACCUCCGGGGUGCUGCCCCCGCUGCACCUGCUGCUCCAGCAACAACACAAAACUGGUGGAAGUAUGCCGCAUCAAUGGCAUUCCUCAGUCUCUCAAAUGGGGGAACUGCAGUGUUCACCCCAGCCUGCUGGC